UACAGAGGGUGCAAGCGUUAAUCGGAAUUACUGGGCGUAAAGCGUGCGUAGGUGGUUUGUUAAGUCAGAUGUGAAAUCCCUGGGCUCAACCUGGGAACUGCGUUUGAUACUGGCAGACUAGAGUGUGGUAGAGGGUGGUGGAAUUCCCGGUGUAGCGGUGAAAUGCGUAGAUAUCGGGAGGAACAUCAGUGGCGAAGGCGGCCACCUGGACCAACACUGACACUGAGGCACGAAAGCGUGGGUAGCAAACAGG
rnacentral:rRNA from 1 species